AAUCUUCCGCAAUGGACGAAAGUCUGACGGAGCAACGCCGCGUGAGUGAUGAAGGUCUUCGGAUCGUAAAACUCUGUUGUUAGGCACGAACAAGCAUCGCUCGAAUAGGGCGGUACCUUGACGGUACCUAACCAGAAAGCUACGGCUAACUCCGUGCCAGCAGCCGCGGUAAUACGUAGGUGGCAAGCGUUAUCCGGAAUUAUUGGGCGUAAAGCGCGCGCAGGCGGUUUCUUAAGUCUGAUGUGAAAGCCCACGGCUCAACCGUGGAGGGUCAUUGGAAACUGGGAGACUUGAGGACAGAAGAGGAGAGUGGAAUUCCACGUGUAGCGGUGAAAUGCGUAGAGAUGUGGAGGAACACCAGUGGCGAAGGCGACUCUCUGGUCUGUAACUGACGCUGAGGCGCGAAAGCGUGGGGAGCGAACA
rnacentral:rRNA from 1 species